rnacentral:rRNA from 1 species
CAAUAGCGUAUAUUAAAGUUGUUGCGGUUAAAAAGCUCGUAGUUGGAUUUCUGCUGAGAACGACCGGUCCGCCCUCUGGGUGUGUAUCUGGCUCUUUCUUGGCAUCUUCUUGGUGAACGUUGCUGCACUUGACUGUGUGGAGCGCUACCCAGGACUUUUACUUUGAGGAAAUUAGAGUGUUUCAAGCAGGCAUACGCCUUGAAUACAUUAGCAUGGAAUAAUAAGAUAGGACCUCGGUUCUAUUUUGUUGGUUUCUAGAGCUGAGGUAAUGAUUAAUAGGGAUAGUUGGGGGCAUUCGUAUUUAACCGUCAGAGGUGAAAUUCUUGGAUUUGUUAAAGACGGACUACUGCGAAAGCAUUUGCCAAGGAUGUUUUCAUUGA